GGCUCGGUAGUUGAUAAAGCACUUGUCUAGCGAAUAAGGGUCGUGAGUUCAAAUCUCACCUGAGCUG
rnacentral:tRNA from 1 species